AUCCUGCCAGUAGUCAUAUGCUUGUCUCAAAGAUUAAGCCAUGCAUGUCUCAGUGCAAGCCACAUUAAGGUGAAACCGCGAAUGGCUCAUUAAAUCAGUUAUGGUUCCUUAGAUCGUACCCACGUUACUUGGAUAACUGUGGUAAUUCUAGAGCUAAUACAUGCAAACAGAGCUCCGACCAGAAAUGGGAAGAGCGCUUUUAUUAGAUCAAAACCAAUCGGUCGGCUCGUCCGGUCCGUUUGCCUUGGUGACUCUGAAUAACUUUGGGCUGAUCGCACGGUCUCUGUACCGGCGACGCAUCUUUCAAAUGUCUGCCUUAUCAACUUACGAUGGUAGGUUCUGCGCCUACCAUGGUUGUAACGGGUAACGGGGAAUCAGGGUUCGAUUCCGGAGAGGGAGCCUGAGAAACGGCUACCACAUCCAAGGAAGGCAGCAGGCGCGCAAAUUACCCACUCCCGGCACGGGGAGGUAGUGACGAAAAAUAACGAUACGGGACUCAUCCGAGGCCCCGUAAUCGGAAUGAGUACACUUUAAAUUCUUUAACGAGUAUCCAUUGGAGGGCAAGUCUGGUGCCAGCAG
rnacentral:rRNA from 1 species